GAAGGACAUUGAGAAGCAAAUGAGACUGGUGACCUCAUUUGACCCCAGAAUGUUUCCCCUCAUCAUCACCUCUCCACCACCGUGCUCUGCAGCUGGAAUCAGCAAGACCUCAAUCUGAGCCUGACGCUGACCGGUCAACCUGUGAAGUUGAUCACCUGGAUAUUUUCCCAUAAUUCCCUGGGAAGUGAGAAUCGUGUCGUUAAACUUUCACUCAGUUUUUCCUCUUCGUUUGGUGAAUAAUAAAAGUUCAGAACAAACUGA